AGAGAAUCCAGCGAUCUCCAAACCUGGGAAACCUGUGUUGUCUAAGACGAGAGGCCCCUUGUGGGUGACAGCUGCUUUUGUGCUCCUGAGUGUGCUGGUGGCUGCAGGCUGCACUGUUAGAUGGGGCCAAUUCAGAGGAAAGAACAACUUUUCCACCUUCAGCCUCAAGAAAGCUUCUAAAGAGCAGCUAGUAUCAGACAGGAGACCUUCGGACUCGUUUCCUUGAUGGGAAGUUGCAGUGCUGUGAGAUGGGACCCAAUGCGGUGGUCCUCAUCACACUCCCCCCAAAUGCUGAUUGCAUAAUUUCUGGGACAAGUUUUCUGGGGUUUGACUGGAUGACAAUCACACUGGAAUAAUCAAGGACUCUUCCUUUGGCACAGGGAGCUUAGAUUGUGGGAUUAUAGUGGCAGUGGGGAAUCAGAAAAAUGAUUGUCACUCGUGCUCUAAAAUCAACCCUACAAGAAUGUGAUGGAAAUGCUUGGAAUAUCACAACGGGUCAUCCAUUUUUCCCAUUGUAGACACAACUCCUCUCCACCCCGCCCCCCAAUGUGGGUUAUUCCACAAGAUACUUCUUGCUGGAGUAGCUCUGGCCAUGCGCUAUGUACCCUCUGCAGUACAUUGUCUGCUCUCCCUUCCAUGUCCACCCAGAGUCCAUUGAAAACUACCUCUUUCCUACCAUGCCGUAUCUUGCCUGUAAGCAUAGCUGUUUGCUCCUGUUCCAGGGCAGGCCGUUCCAUUCUACACACCUGGGAAGGGCCAAGCUCAAAGUGACAUGGGUAUAUAAUUUAUAUCCCCGAGGAUACUGCUCAUAUUUUUAAGCCAUGAGCUCAAACUUCAUGUACCAGAAGCUCUUAAAACAUCAUUGACUGCAGGAGAACUGUCAACGAGAUGGAAGAAUGAAGAGUCUCCUGUAUGCUUCGCUUUGCAUUGGAUCACAGGCAGUGCAGUGGCCCCUAGGCACAGCACAGGCCAUUCAGGACAUGAAUGCCUUCAACUCCCAGUGCACUCAAUGUAGGAGGUGCACUAAGCUCCUUGCAGGAUUGGGCCCAGAGUUUCCACUUUGACACUGAUAUCCCUGGGCGUUGCAUCCUCCAUGCAGUCAGAAGAGUUUGUUAGCAGAUUUAAGUUUUGACAAACAGCUGGAGCCAGCUUUGCUGUUCUUUGCUUUUACCUGUGAGUAGUCUUAGUCUCAAAAGUCAGCUAGUAGCUGUGCCUCCAUUUCAGAUCUUGGACGGUACAACAUUUUUUCAUGAACUGUUAUUAAAGAAGUGUAAAGCACUAGUAGUGUAGAGGGAACAGUUCCAGUGUAGAAACCUGGUGCUGGUGGAGGGUGAGCACUGUCUUGUCCCUUUAAUCCAUUGUUGACAUUCAAGACCUAUUGUCUUCUUUGCACAGUUGCUUGCUCAAUACACACACAGAUGGUAGAAGCUUGCUGCCCUGUUGGCUGAAUGUGGUGCCUUACAGGUGGUGAUUCUGCUUGCAGGGCAUACGCUCUAGCCAGCAGCCUCAGAGGGCAGGACUCCCUGGAGGUUUGUAUAGUGGGUACAUGUGCAUACGUAAUAUGAAAGAGUUUGUUAAGAGGUAUGACCUAUUUAGAAUCUUGGCUCUUCCCAGCAUCGGAAUAGAGCACUAGCGCCAGGCUGAACCCUUGAGGGCUCAGUGUGCUGCAUUCUGUGCAAUGGACAAAGAACCACAGUUGGCAAUUGGGUGGGUGCUGAAUGACCAUGGGAGAAUUAAAGAUCUUUUUGAUGGCUUCCUGGA